UACGUAGGGUGCAAGCGUUGUCCGGAAUUAUUGGGCGUAAAGAGCUCGUAGGCGGUCUGUCACGUCGGCUGUGAAAACCCGAGGCUCAACCUCGGGCCUGCAGUCGAUACGGGCAAACUAGAGUACUGCAGGGGAGAACGGAAUUCCUGGUGUAGCGGUGAAAUGCGCAGAUAUCAGGAGGAACACCGGUGGCGAAGGCGGUUCUCUGGGCAUUACCUGACGCUGAGGAGCGAAAGUGUGGGGAGCGAACAGG
rnacentral:rRNA from 1 species